rnacentral:rRNA from 1 species
AGAGAGAGACAUGCGCGCAUAUCAAUAAGCGGAGGAAAAGAAACUAACAAGGAUUCCCUUAGUAACGGCGAGUGAAGCGGGAAGAGCUCAAAUUUGAAAUCUUCAAGGUUUUACCUUGACGAAUUGUAGUUUAAAGAAGUGUUUUCUGUUGAAGUUUUGGUAAAAGUUCUUUGGAAUAGGACAUCAUAGAGGGUGAGAAUCCCGUAUUUGACCAUUACUUUCCAGCUGUUGUGAUACACUUUCAAAGAGUCGGAUUGUUUGGGAAUGCAGUCCAAAAUGGGUGGUAAAUUUCAUCUAAAGCUAAAUAUUGGCGAGAGACCGAUAGCGAACAAGUACCGUGAGGGAAAGAUGAAAGGAACUUUGAAAAGAGAGUUAAACAGUACGUGAAAUUGUCAAAAGGGAAGCGUUUGACACCAGUGUUGUUUUCUCGAAAAUCAAUUAAAAAUGGUGGAUUUUGUGUUGUAUUGACCUUAAUCAAGCUUUCUUCACUUUUUCCUAUCUUUUUUAAUGCACUUUUCGUUUAACAAGUCAACAUAAGUUUCUUUUGUUGUAAAAGAGUCAUUGGAAGGUGGCUUUCUUUUCGGAGAAAGUGUUUAUAGCCUUUGAUCUCUGCAAUCGGAGAGAUUGAGGUCUGCAGCGUAGACUCCUUCGGGGUUAGAUACAUUUGUGCUAAGCUAUAGCCUUUUCAUAGACAACUUGUUGACUAUGAUUCAGUCAUGUAGGCUUACUCGCUUAUGUCAUUUUACCUACGCUUAGGAUGUUGAUCUGUAGUGCGUGCGC